ensembl:lncRNA
GGCGGGCUCCCAGAGCAGUGGCGGGGAGAUGAGGCACGGAGCAGCGGGACGGAGGGCUGAGGCAGCUCGGCGGGGCCGCGGUGCAGCACCGAGCUGUGGGAAGUCGAAGCAUCUCUGAGCAGCAGCAGCAGCAGCAGCAGCAGCUGAGUGUCUCUGAGAGAGUGUCAGAGUGUCUUGGCAACAGUGGGAGAUGUCUGCAACUUUCCUUGACUCCUGCGGAAAGCACGUCAUGUAGGCAGGGCGGCGUUUAAACCCAUUACCUCUUGUCCUGACAGGACAACAUGUGACAGGACAACAUUCUACCUACAUGUGAAAAGUUGGUCCCCUUGCUGCUUGUGAACUCCUUUCAAGUACUGGAAGAUCACAAUGAGGUCUCCCUGGAGCCUUCUCUUCACCUGCUGGAGGUGACUUCUGAGUGAGCACGUUAACUGUUGGUCAAGAACCUUUCCAAAAUUGUAGUUGAGCUUCCUUUACAGAGAAAAACUAAGGAUGUUUAAAUUGGUGCAGAAGAGGCCCAUGUCACAGAGGUGGCAAACACAUGGUGCUGAAGGUGCAGCUGAGGAGUUUGAGCUGGGCAGCUGCAGCAUGGAGGAAGUGCUGCUUUCUGGGUUGCACAGCUAACACUUGGAUGACUUUGGGUUCUUCUAAGUCCUCCCAUGAGUGACUGUUUUCUGCGACUCAGCUCCCAUAUCUGCUAGGAGAACAACAGUGUGUUUGUCAACCCACGGGAGUGAAAGAGUCAGCUCUGCUAAAUGCUGCAACCUCUUUGGCUGGACAGUGUUGUGGACAGUGUCUCUUCAGUUGAGGGUGCUGUAGGACUGCGUGCAGCUGAUGGAUGCGAUGGGUCUAAUCUGGCUACCCCUUUAGUUCCCUGGUUCUUAUGGAGUAAUGCAAAAAAAGCCAUUUCACAGGGAAGUCACUCCUUUGUGCUUCAGCCUUCGCACCAG